rnacentral:misc_RNA from 1 species
CGAGAGAGAGUUGUAACAGACUCCCUUUUAAACCCCCUGUGAACCUUCACUAUUGUUAGUUGCUUCGGCGGGCAGCCCCAGGGCGGGGCUGUGAGCCUGGGCCUCCAGGUGCCCGCCGUAGGCCCAUCUCAGAACUCUUUCAGUUGUUACCGUUAGCGUCUGAGUCUCCCCUUUAGCGGGAACUGAAAAUAAAACA